rnacentral:rRNA from 1 species
GAUGAACGCUGGCGGCGUGCCUAAUACAUGCAAGUCGAGCGAACAGACGAGGAGCUUGCUCCUCUGACGUUAGCGGCGGACGGGUGAGUAACACGUGGAUAACCUACCUAUAAGACUGGGAUAACUUCGGGAAACCGGAGCUAAUACCGGAUAACUUGUUGAACCGCAUGGUUCAACAGUGAAAGACGGUCUUGCUGUCACUUAUAGAUGGAUCCGCGCCGCAUUAGCUAGUUGGUAAGGUAACGGCUUACCAAGGCAACGAUGCGUAGCCGACCUGAGAGGGUGAUCGGCCACACUGGAACUGAGACACGGUCCAGACUCCUACGGGAGGCAGCAGUAGGGAAUCUUCCGCAAUGGGCGAAAGCCUGACGGAGCAACGCCGCGUGAGUGAAGAAGGUCUUCGGAUCGUAAAACUCUGUUAUUAGGGAAGAACAAAUGUGUAAGUAACUAUGCACGUCUUGACGGUACCUAAUCAGAAAGCCACGGCUAACUACGUG